UUGACAACAAUCAUCUUUUGAAACAGAACAUUCUGUGAUGCAUCAAUGGCAGUAGUUUCAGUGUGGGUUUUAAUUAGGAAGAAACGAUUUUGAAGGGAAUAUAAUUAUUCAUAGUAUAUCGGUCUCUGGAACCGCACACGUUAAGGAAGUGAAGUCAGUGUCAACAGAUAGACCGAGUCCAUGUGUGAACGAGUCUCGCGCGCUCGAUAUUUGAAGGCACCUCCUUCUUGCGCCUCAGGUUUGGUUGAUAAACCUCAGCUCCUCGAACCACCGGUUACUCCUGCACAGAAGAUAACAGUGCAUCUAGAGCCACAGUCACGGAGACGGGAUUUGCGCCUGUCACACACGUUCAUCUGACUUGACGUGAUACAGUCCAAUUUGACUUGAUGGUUGAACUUCAUUGCUUGAAGACUGACAAGAUAAGUAUUGGUUGUGUGGAGAGGCAGUAUUGGCUGUCGCAUAUAUGGUUUUAGUAUCAAAAUAAGGUCUAUUAGCCUUCUUCCUUCUACUCUCUGUUAAAACGUGUAAAAGAUGGUGUAGAAGUCUGAAAGUGAGAUGGCUGAUAGAGUGCAGGUGCAGCAGGAGCCACCUUUCAUCUGUGACACAUUCAGUUGAUGGCUGCCUCUCUGAUCUAAAACUAGUUUGUUUCUCUCGUUAUAGCGGUGAAGUAAGAUCUGAGAAGAGGGAGUACAGCAUGAACUUUUCAGAUGAAGUUCCUUUGGGAGAUAAGGUGUCUUUAAGAAAAAACUGAAGUGAGAUUUUGAGACGUGUCACUUAUAUAACCUUUAUUUUCUUCUAAUUUGAUCCAGUGCUUUUUGUUGCAAAUGAUAUGAUCAGAAUUACAAAUGACCAUGUCCUUGAUGAAGAAUGACCAUUUUCGAAAUAUUAAUUGGGUUUUUAAAUUUAGGAUGGGGGUCCCUCGCAUGAGGAUGAUCAUAUUUGUGAGCCCAUUGCAAAAGAUCAGAAACCUCUGCUUUAAUGGAAGCAAGAACAUCUGUCUCUCUGUAUAAAAAGUUGACCGUUGAAACAGAAUUACCUAUUAAAUGACCUGCAUUAGUGAUGUAAGUGGUGCAGAAUCUUUAAUAGUGCAUUUAUUUAAUAUAUAUUUUGUAUUUAUUGUUUUAUCAAUUUGUUAUACAUUUUACUUAAUGUUAUAUUUAAAGUAUUCAUUGUAAUUUUUUAAUGUAAUUGUUUAUUUUAUUUUUAUUAUAAUUCUAUAUCAUCAUUUUAACACUUCUUUUGAACUUUUCUUUGUUUUUAAAUUGGUUCCAGGAUCUAAAAGACAAAAUCCCCAGAUGUUCAAAGCGGUGUCAGUUUUAAAUUGGUCCAGGAUCUAAAAGACAAAAUCCCCAGAUGUUCAAAGCGGUGUCAGAUUUUUGAACCCCACUGUUUAGUAAAGCUCAUGCUGUUUUUCUUCUCAAUAAAUGCUCAGCAGGCGCAGAGACAUGUUUAAAAUGUGCUGUAUUUGAAUGGAAAUCAUGAUUUUUCCCCUUUAGAUUAUGAAACCGCUAAUGAAUGUCUGUCCACACUUCACACCAUGACACUGUUCAUUAACUUUAAUAAAACAUGCAUGUUUAUGGGAUGUCUUCUUUUGACUGUAGUACUGUUGGAUGUGCCACAUCUGACAGCUAUCAAAGCAAAAGCUCAUCUUGAAAUCCCCCCACCAUCACAGGGUGUGCUCGCCCGUGGCGAGCUCUGUUAUAAAUAU
rnacentral:lncRNA from 1 species